ensembl:lncRNA
CGGACGCGGCUCCGGGCUGCCGUGCGCUGGGGGACGGCGUCACGACGGCGGACGGCACGCGCGCGGCUUGGUGGAACACCCCGCGGGUGCUUUUUGUUCGAGGUGACUCUACAGGGCAGCUUUGUGAUCAGUUGGAACAGCGUUGUCGUUCAGUGCGUUUUGGUUAAUGAAAACUUGGAAAAGGUUGAAGCGAGAAGAGCUGCUGCAUCAGAGCGUGGUUAAAUUGGACCGUUUUGCUUUUCAGGGAUUUAUGCAAACACUUGUCUAUUUAAUGACAUCUUAUUUAAGGACGUGCAUCAAGCAUUCUGCUUUGAUCUGUGGCUUUCACAACAUUCAGCAAAUGCCACAGGGAAGCCAAUGAAUGGCGCUUUUCUCAGUUGGUUUCGUGUCUUACCACACAUCCACACAGCUCUGAUGGGAAACUGUAAACGAACCUGCAUUUGCUCAAAAAAAAAAGGUCACUUGGAAAGCUUUGAAGCGCCUUUUGACAAACCUGUCCUGAAUCUCAAGCAGCUGACAACGUUUGAGAUGGGCUGAGAGUCUCUGCGUUCGGGUUGGACCGUGAACCUUUCAUACACUUCCAUUGCACGCGGUUCCCCGUCACAAACUGUGACCUGGAGUUUACAUCCCAGGCUGUGACUGUGUCUGCAGGUGUACAUCAGGACACAGGAAAAGGCUGGGAGCAUCGUUUAUGGGUUUUGUUCAGCGUAACAUCAAGUUUCAGGCCUCUGCUGUCCUGUUCCUAAGGGAACUGGGAAAUAUUCCCAGCUUUAUGUAAUGAAGAGCAUCUUACUGUCUCCCAGCUUGUGUGCCGUAGGUUGGUAAGGCCUUUAUUUCUCCACGGAAAGAAGUUUCAGGAGAAACAAAUCAAGAAGAAACCCAGAUGAAAAACAUAGUUUAUCACCCAAGGUCAUCAUUCCACAGCCGUGUGCGGGGACACUGGAUGGGCGCUGCAUGGGACAGACAGCCCUCCAAAGCACUGGUGUGCCCGGAGGUAGAGAACAUCAGGACUUUACAGUCACAUGAAUUCUGGGAAGGUUCUUACCAAAACCAGCACCCAGCCCUUGCUUUCCUACUGUCUCUUAUGUCCUCUUACCCAUUCUCUCUUUCCUUUGCCCGUCCUUUACUGAGCAUUUCUUCCAUCUCUCAUUCUCUUUCUUCUCCCUUUCCCUGUUCCGGGCUUUUUCCCAACAACCUUUCCUCUCCUAAUGUUUACCUACCUUCGCUUGGGCCUCUCCUGCAGCUCCUGCCAGGCCGCCGGUUCCUGCUGCACUAAAUCAGUUCUUCCAGAGUCAAUGGCUCCUCUCAGUGACUCACAGGAGGUGCAAAUCCAGCGGGGCAAAUUAAGCAUAGCGACAUAGCACAGAAUAGCCAGAAGGCUUCAGCAGCUCAAAUCCGAGUGGGAUCAGGCUUUUUUUUUUUUCCCCUCGCUUUGAUUUGCUCAGUUUAUGCUGAAUACUUUGAGUAUGCUAUUUCCUAUUUGUUUUCUUCCUUUUCCCCACUGCCCUCCCUUUAGCUGUGCUCACGCCUGUCAGUUUUUGUCUAGUAUGUGCUUUGCCCGUGGUUUCUCUUAUUUGUGGGUUUGUGCUUCACAGCAUCUGUGUACCGAGAGACACUUUGCUCUGUAGGCACACUGAUUUUACCUGUGGCUGCUGUCAGGGAGUUGUGAGGGUUCCUCUUCUGUGACUGUGGAAAGGGAACUUGUGAGGCUGCUGACCCUGCAGGGAACCCAGACAAGUAAAAUCUGCAAUAUUAUUCAGUUGUUCUCAUUGCUUCUUCAAGAACCAUCCCUGCAGAUGGUCACUGGCAGUAUGUGCCUCGUGGCUUCUCACCCAGGGCUGGAUGCAGAAAGGAAAGUAGUUAACAUCUUCUAUUUAGCUCCUCCAGCUUGUUCACAGAACCCAACACUCUUUCUUGCUGCCGCUCAGGGAGAUGGCAUUCAAUUUAAUGCUACAGUAGCGGCUCCUGUAGCACUGGGAAGGCAUUCAGUUUUCCUCAGCAAGGCAGGUGGAUUACUAAGGUACCUUAACCUGCUCUCACGUGCAUGUCCUUUGACACCAGGAUAUGCUCAGAAGACAGUAUUUGCAGCGGGCACUUCCCUGUAGCUGAAGUUUUCAAUGAAAAGACUGCUGCAGGCUUUGGCCCGAGCUCUCUUUGCCGUGUAAAUAAGUAAUGAAAGUCGGGUGGUCCUGGCCAGCACCUGCAUGCACACGGACCUCCAAAUCAUGUCUGUCUUCUUUAUGCGGUGAUUCUACUUGAAAUAUAAGUUGAAAUCUCUCUUCACGUGCCUUACUAAAAUUCUUUUCGCAGCUGUGUGUUGUAUUGCAGAAGGAAGCUGAGGCAUCAGGACUGCACACAGCUUCUUUCCCAGCACCAGCUAAGGAGAAAGUCUUGGACGUGGAUCCCAUAUGACCUCAGGAGAAACUUUUUCAUAGCUUCCAGCUUUGGCCCUCAGUGUGCAGGAUUUCCCUGUGGAGCAGUACUGCUUGUAAACUGACAUCUUUAUUAAGAUGAAAUGAGCAAGCUCAAAGGAAAAUUGGUCGUGUUCACAAAGGGUUGCUGGAGCAGGGUUAGCCUGAUUGCAAUCAAUAGAACAGUGCCUGAGCAAUUUUUGAUCAAAGAACACCUGUGGGCUGUGGUCCGUAAUGGUCUUCAGCUGUUGCCUGCCUCAGUCCACCUCAUAGCUACACCUUAGAGACAAUUGCCUUCUGCCUCUAUCUGUGUUGUGGAGCUCUGCAGCCCAGAAUGUCUGCUCUUCAGCACGUUCAGGUUUGUUUUUACAUUUCUACAUUUAAAAUGUGGCAAAUUACUCUUUCCCAAUGAGUAUUGUGUUUCAUUAUAGCUAUCAUCGAAACUCCAUUCCCUUAAGGUCAGGUGAUAUCAAUACUAGCAGAACCCUCUGCCUUCGUUCUGGUGCUUUCACUUCCUCUUCUCUGCUAAUGACCCAGGGAUGUGUUUUGUUGUCACUGACACGUGGGCAUUCAGGGGGCUCACCUGGAUUUUGCUUUUAAGAACAGAGUUUUGCAGGCAUGCUUGCUUGUUUGUUUGUUUAAAAUGCAGUUCUUUCUUCUUUGAGUACAAAUAGAAGGAAGGGCCUGAGCUUUCAAGAUACCAAAGACGUUUUGCCACACAGUGAAUUCUGUUGAUUGUCAGGUUACCUGCUGAAAACGUCAUGGCAUCAAUCUCAGAACAGUGCAGAAUGCCCUGAGGUGCCUGUUGGCUUUGUCUGCUGUUGUUACUCAUCCUCUGCUACACACACAAGCUUAUUAAAACACAGUGAGACUGUGAUUGUGUUUGCUGUCUUCUUGUUUAUUUCCCUUCCCUUCUAUCUGGGCUCUUACCCUUCACCUACCAGCUUUCAGUGGCAGCUAGUUAUGUUCUUUUCCUCUGUCGUGCGUGUUUAUUUUAUGACACGCAUGAGCUAACCGAUAGAAGGAAGCCAGGCCAGGACUGCCCUGCUGGAGAUCAGCUUUUUGCACAGUUCUCUGGCACGUGCCCCUCACUUCUGGUCAGCGAUAGCGUACUGAAAAAGUCAAUAGCAGACAAAUAAGCAGACACGAUGUCAUCCUUGAAGAUAGGGAGGACUUAGAGGCAGCCAGCAGAUCCUGUAUGUGUUUUGAGAAUGUUUCUGGAGACAGAGCUACGAUCCAAGAAUGUGCAAAUAGCUGCCCAUCCCAGUCUUGCGUGCCUGCAAUUAAGGAGAAGUGCAAAACCAUCUCCAGCCUUGAGCAGCAUACCAAAUCUUAAAGGUGCGCCUUGCUCUAUUGAACUGGUUGGGGAAUUUUUCUUGAGGAGUGAAGAACGAACUACUUGACUGGAAUCUUCUCCUCAGUUUAUCUCUGCCAGAGAUUAAAAUAGAGCUGGUGGGUGAGACCUGGUAGGCUGUCCGGUGAAAGGUUGCAUGCAUUACUCCAGGUCCUUGUGGAGAUUCAGGACAGAGGAGCCUAUCAGUGCAUGCGGACCCACUGGGAGGGCAGAUCUCUUUGAGUCAGCCAGGAAGCACGUCGAGGUCUGCUGCCCGCUGUUUUCCCACAGACCAGUGUCCUCAGGAAGCACAAGGUUAGCAGGGCUAUCAGCACACUGCUUUGGUGUGGAGACUUUUUUACGAUUGUUAACAUUUCGUUUCCUGUUGUUGUACAGAAAUUAUGACUCUGAGUGUCAAUGUUGAGAUGAAAGCAGAAACCCUUUUGCAUGGGGCAAACACUAAAAGCUAGCUGUUAUGUUAUUCAUUUAAGAAUAUAUUUUUAAAAAAAUCGUGCUGACAGGCAGCUAUUUGCUUUGGGGGAUGUUUGUUCAUUGAUGUUUUUCAUAGAAUCAUAGAAUUGUUUGAGUUGGAAGGGACCCCUAAACAUCACCUUGCCCAGCUCGCCUGCAUUGUGCUGGGACGCCUACAGAUCAGUCAGGUGUUCAGAGCCCCUCGCAGUCUGACCUUGAAUGUCUCCAGGGAUGGGACAUCCACCUCCUCUCUGGGCAGCCUGUGCCAGUGCCUCACCACCAUUACUGAGAAGAAACUUUGUCCAAUCUAAAUCUCCCCUCUUUUCAUUUGAAACCAUUUCUCCUUGUUCUGUCACAACAGAUCCUGAUAAAGAAUCUGUGCCCUUCUUUCUUACAGUCCCCCUUUAGAUAGAGAAAGGCCUCUCUCGGGUCUCCCUGGAGCCUUCUCAGAGCUCACCAGCCCCAGCUCUCAGCCUGUCCUUUUAGGGAAGGUGUUCCAUCCCUUGGGUUGUUUCUGGGGCCCUCCUCUGUUCCCACUCUAACAGGUCUAUGUGUCUCCUGUACUCCUCUGCAUCAUUUAGUACUCAGCAGUCUACAUACUUAUCGCUGUCUUAUCUUUCUGUGUAACUGAGGUCUGAUUCUGAAAAUGCCCACAGACCCAAUUUUUAGUGAGAUUAUUUGGGGAAAAAACGGCAGACGACGCUGGUCUUUCAUGUGAGAAGUGUGUAAUAACUGAAUGAUGUUCAUCAACAGCUGCGAGAAGAGAGCCUCUGGUUGGAAAGAGUGGGCUUUCAGGAUGCACCCGUACCAUUUUUUUUCUUAACAGUGCCAUGUCAAAAUAAAAAUCAGUGAUUAAAAGCGUGCCUUACUUGUGCUGCUAGAAACACUUUUAGAUUGUACACACUGUAAACAGUAAAUAUUUAAUGUACACGUUUACUUUUCCUGGUUCAUGCCGAGCUCACAGGGCCUGACAGAGAAGCUAGACAGAUGUGUUUAUAGUGAGCUCCCCGGGCUGGCACAAUGCUGCAGUGUUUGGCUGCGAGCACCACAGGGAGAUGUUGUAAAAAAUAAAAAAUAAAAGCGUUCCAUUUACAUUGGGGGAAAAAAUCCUGAGAAUGUUUCUAUUAAUAUUAGCUGGUGUAAAACCCCAAAUUCUACAUUUCAGGCCUUGAAUAUUUCAAAAAUAGAGGAUGAGAUUGUGGUCGGUGAGGAUGUGGG